rnacentral:lncRNA from 1 species
CAGAUGAAGAAAUGGGUUCACAGAGAUUAAGUAAUUUGCUCAGGUUCACAGGGCAGGCUCGGUACCUUGGUUAUUAAAGAAUGAAAGGGAGAAAGAUCCAGAAACUCUAACCCAUCUACCUGGCUUUGAGGAAGAAAUUAUUUCAGUUGGUCACUAUGAAGAUGCUUCAACAGAUACAUGAUAAUACAGCAGGUAAGUCUACAAAGGAAACAUCAUGAAGAUAUUGAACAUCUGUACUGU